UUUUAUUUUUUUUCUUCUUUCUUUCCUUUUGUUAAUUAUUUAUCUUGUAAACUGUGGUUAAUUAUUUUCGAGAUAUUACAUUAAGUGACUAACUUUAGGUAAUAUUAUUUGUUGUAGACGGAAACUUCGUAGAAGACGACUUUUAGUUGAUAUUGCUAUAUUUGGGACGCGUUUGAGGUUGGUGAAAGGGACUACGUUGCAGGAAUGAGUGAAUUUAUAGUUUUUAAGUUCACCUAGUUUAAUAAACACUACAGUACUGCCAUUUGAGAUUGUUUAGUUUUGUUUUGGUAUAAAGUAGACAACUUAGUUUGGUUUAUUUUGAUACUUUGGUUUGUGAGUAAAAUUUUUAUUUCUAAUAA